AUUGAACGCUAGCGGCAGGCCUAACACAUGCAAGUCGAACGAGUGGCGGACGGGUGAGUAAUAUAUGGGAAACUGCCCGAUGGAGGGGGAUAACUACUGGAAACGGUGGCUAAUACCGCAUACCAUCGGAUCUGCCCAGAUGGGAUUAGCUAGUUGGUGGGGUAAAGGCUCACCUAGGCGACGAUCCCUAGCUGGUUUGAGAGGACGACCAGCCACACUGGAACUGAGACACGGCCCAGACUCCUACGGGAGGCAGCAGUGGGGAAUAUUGGACAAGGGGCGAAACCCUGAUACAGCCAUGCCGCGUGUAUGAAGAAGGCCUUCGGGUUGUAAAGUACUUUCAGCAGGGAAGCGGUACCUGCAGAAUAAGCACCGGCUAACUACGUGCCAGCAGCCGCGGUAAUUC
rnacentral:rRNA from 1 species